rnacentral:rRNA from 1 species
UACGUAGGGGGCAAGCGUUGUCCGGAAUUAUUGGGCGUAAAGAGCGCGUAGGCGGUCCGAUAAGUCGGCUGUGAAAGUCCAGGGCUCAACCCUGGAAAGCCGGCCGAUACUGUCGGACUAGAGUCCGGAAGAGGCGAGUGGAAUUCCCGGUGUAGCGGUGAAAUGCGUAGAGAUGCGGAGGAACACCGAUGGCGAAGGCAGCCCCCUGGGCUAACACUGACGCUCAGGCACGAAAGCGUGGGGAGCAAACAGG